rnacentral:rRNA from 1 species
UACGAAGAGGGCUAGCGUUGUUCGGAUUUACUGGGCGUAAAGCGCACGUAGGCGGUUUGUUAAGUACGAGGUGAAAUCCCAGAGCUCAACUCUGGAACUGCCUUUCAUACUGGCAAGCUAGAGUCCGGAAGAGGUAAGUGGAACUCCUAGUGUAGAGGUGGAAUUCGUAGAUAUUAGGAAGAACACCAGUGGCGAAGGCGGCUUACUGGUCCGGAACUGACGCUGAGGUGCGAAAGCGUGGGGAGCAAACAGG